rnacentral:rRNA from 1 species
CAGCAGCCGCGGGAAUACGAAGGGUGCAAGCGUUACUCGGAAUUACUGGGCGUAAAGCGUGCGUAGGUGGUGGUUUAAGUCCGUUGUGAAAGCCCUGGGCUCAACCUGGGAAUUGCAGUGGAUACUGGGUCACUAGAGUGUGGUAGAGGAUAGUGGAAUUUCCGGUGUAGCAGUGAAAUGCGUAGAGAUCGGAAGGAACAUCUGUGGCGAAGGCGACUAUCUGGGCCAACACUGACACUGAGACACGAAAGCGUGGGGAGCAAACAGGAUUAGAUACCCCUGUAGUCCCUGUCUCUUAUAA